rnacentral:rRNA from 1 species
AGAGUUUGAUCCUGGCUCAGGACGAACGCUGGCGGCGUGCCUAACACGUGCAAGUCGAGCGGAGACAGUGAGUAGCUUGCUAUGAGCUGUUUUAGCGGCGGACGGGUGAGUAACGCGUGAGCAACCUUUCCCAGACAGGGGAAUAACACACCGAAAGGUGUACUAAUACCGCAUAAGACCACGGGAUCACAUAGUUCUGGGGUAAAAGAUUUAUCGGUUUGGGGUGGGCUCGCGUCCGAUUAGGUAGUUGGUGAGGUAACGGCCC